rnacentral:rRNA from 1 species
UACGUAGGGUGCAAGCGUUGUCCGGAAUUAUUGGGCGUAAAGGGCUCGUAGGCGGUUUGUCGCGUCGGGAGUGAAAACUCAGGGCUUAACCCUGAGCCUGCUUCCGAUACGGGCAGACUAGAGGUAUGCAGGGGAGAAUGGAAUUCCUGGUGUAGCGGUGAAAUGCGCAGAUAUCAGGAGGAACACCGGUGGCGAAGGCGGUUCUCUGGGCAUUUCCUGACGCUGAGGCACGAAAGCCAGGGGAGCAAACGGG